AGCCACAGGAUUCACUUAGACAUGUGCAAGCAACUUGUUCUUUUUGUUAAUAUUUUACAGAUUGCCACUGAAUAUGAGUUAGAAGACCAGCAGAGUUCAGCCCUUUCAGGAGAUGCCUUUCCAGCUCACUGGAGGAACAACAGCCCUGGUGUAAUUCCAGGAAGGAAGCAGAACUCCUGGAGUCAGCACGGCAGGCAUUUUCUUGAGGUGGCUGCUAACAAGUGGCUACUCAGGAAAGGAAGAAUUUUCUUCUCAUUGCUCUCAAAGGAUGCUAAGACACUUCCUGAGAAAUCCUUCUGGGGGUUGUGCUGAGAGGGAUAGUACCCACAAAUGAGGUGGGAGUGGAAGAGAAGUGUUUCAGUCCAUUCUCCCAUACCUGGGAAGAUACAGACAGCAAGGACUGGGAUUUGGGAGAGGACGUGCCUUGCUGUUCACCAUGCAUUCUAGCAGGGGCAAUGGAGAGUCCCUUUCAGCUGCAGCAUCCUGUGGCCUUCAGACAACUGAAAUAUCAGUUAUGGAACAGCAAUAGGCAGGAGUCAAAGUAUGUGGAGCUAUUUCUAUGGCUGAAGAGAAGACAGCUGGUCAGCCACAAAUAUCAUUCUUACAAGUGCAACUCCAAUAGCCACGUUAUGAAUUAAAAACAGAAGAAUGCAGCUAUCACAUGAGGAACACUCAGCUGCCCCCUGCUGAACCAGGAGCAGGAGCUGUGCACUCUGGGGAAGAUAAGAUCUAAUCCUCAGCUACCUCUGUCCCCCUGAUCCUGUCAUACUGAUCCAUUACUCAGCCCCAGACAACAUGUACACACAGGCCAUGAAAAAUGUCUGUGAUAAAUAAAAUAGGCACUCCUUGAGAGCAUCUAAUUUUGAAGGCAGGCUGUCACUUUGAACUGCUAAGCACUUGAGGAAAGCUCCUUUGUGCAGGUUGCAGGAACUGUAAGGAAUUCCAUAUGCUGUGUAGACAUCCCUGGUAGCCAGAGACAAGUGCCUGUUUUCAGCCUUUCCAGGGACACCGCUCUGGUAGCUGUCAUGAUGAAUUCUGAUCCUUUCCUGGUCCUGCCUGUGAGAGGGAGCUGCAGUAGCUCUGGGGGGAGCCUUAAGCCCUUACAAGGAGUGUGGGAGUUUCAAGAAUUUUCUUCCUCUUCUUAUCCCCACUGAAGGCAACUCAGAGUUCAUCCUGUCUGAAUUCACAGUCUGGGGAGAAUGUGCUUUACUGUAGGUGGCUCUGAACUCAGGUUACCUUUAUUACACUGAUGGCAAUUACAGAACGGGCAUUGGAAUAGACUGAUGUUCAGUGAGCAGUAAUGCUGGCCUGCUUGCAAGUUUGCAUGAGGCAUCUCUGCUCUAAGAAACUCAAAGCAUUUUCAAAAACUGAAAUUCCCUCUCACUAUUUUGCAAAGGCAGAAACUGAGACCCUGAGAGCUGUGACUUCCCCCACUCAUCUAGUGAGGUGAUAACAGCUACAGAAAUAGAAUUCAUGACUUCCAGACCCUCUCCUCCUCCUGACCACUAACACAUUUUGCCACCCAAGAAGACCAUUUGCCAUGUCAUCAUCAAGGCGUAUCUGGGUAGCACAGUUUCUCCAUCUAUACAGCCUUUGUUUUAUGUAAGCCUCACUUCCCUAUCUGUAGGGAAUAACAACACUUCACUGCUUCAAAGGGGUGCAGGGAAUAACUGAACUCAAGGCUCUGCAGUAUGCAUAUAUGGUAGUGGACACCUUGCAAGUAUUAAUACUUACAUUUGGAGACUGUACUAUUAAUUCUGUGCCUGACUGCUGCUGUUCAA